rnacentral:pre_miRNA from 10 species
AUGCAGUGUUGAUAUGUCUGAUAUUCUUGGGUUGUGCAAAGUCAACCAGCAUCUCAGACGUAUCGGCCACUGUGUAUUG